AAAUCGGUGGCAGAUUAUAAUGUGUUAAAUUGUAAAUUUAAUUAUGGGAGCUACCCUCGGUUUA
rnacentral:tRNA from 1 species